GAUAUAUUCGGAAAUGCACUGCAAAGACAGAAACGGUGUAUCGUGGUCCAGAAGCAGUCAACAGGUGGCGCGGAGAGCAGUUCAGAGGAUUCUGACAGGCGAUCCAGUCACCGAUUUUCAGACAGACGAUAUGAGGGAAUCAACCGUGAUUCGGAGAUACUCCCAGAAUUACUAAACUACAAAGUGCCGAUGAAGAAGAUCCAGGAUCUAUUCAAUAUAAGGAAAUUCAUUCAAAUCUAAUAAAACAA